rnacentral:tRNA from 1 species
GGAGUUGUGGCCCAAUGGUAGAGCACUUGCCUGGCAUGUGUGGGGCCCUGAGUUCAAUCCUCAGCACCG